GAUGAACGCUGGCGGCGUGCCUAAUACAUGCAAGUCGAGCGAACGGACGAGAAGCUUGCUUCUCUGAUGUUAGCGGCGGACGGGUGAGUAACACGUGGAUAACCUACCUAUAAGACUGGGAUAACUUCGGGAAACCGGAGCUAAUACCGGAUGAUAUUUUGAACCGCAUGGUUCAAAAGUGAAAGACGGUCUUGCUGUCACUUAUAGAUGGAUCCGCGCUGCAUUAGCUAGUUGGUAAGGUAACGGCUUACCAAGGCAACGAUGCAUAGCCGACCUGAGAGGGUGACCGGCCACAGGAGCAGGGAGGCGCGCCCCAGCCUCCAAGGGGAGGCAAGAGUAGGGAGUCUUCCGAAAUGGGGGAAAACAAGAAGGGGCAACGCCGGGGGAGGGAGAAGGGUCUUGGGAACGUAAAACUGUAUUAUAAGGAAAAAAAAUAUGUGUAAGAAACUGUACACGUCGUGAGGGACCAAAAUAAAAAGACCAGGCCAAAGUCGGUG
rnacentral:rRNA from 1 species